CCCUGCGGUUAUACAAAGAAUACAAGUAAAUUAUAUUGGAUAGGAGUUAAAUAAUUAUUUAUUUAAUAAAUAGUAAUUUUUUAGGUGAAAUUUUAAUUUACUUAAAUUAAUAAAUUUAAAAUUAUUGAAGCUUAGAAAUUUUUGUUAUAAACUAGGAUUAGAUACCCUAUUAUAAAAAUUGUAUAAUUAAGAAGUCAGAGUAGUAUUAGUUAAGGUCUUGAAACUCAAAAAAUUUGGCGGUAUUUUAGUCUAUUUAGAGGAACCUGUAGUAUAAUCGAUAAUCCACGAUGGACCUCACUUAAUUUUGUUUUUCAGUUUGUAUACCGCUGUUAUUUGAAGAUUUUAUAAGAAUAUUAAUUUUCAGAAUUUUUAAUUAAAAAAUAUAUCAGGUCAAGGUGCAGCUUAUGAUUAAGAAUUUAUGGGUUACAAUAAAAUUAUUUAUACGAAUAAAAAUAUGAAAUUAUUUUUUGAAGGUGGAUUUAAUAGUAAAUUUUUAAAGAUAAAAGAAUUGAUUUUAGCUCUAAAAUAUGCACACAUCGCCCGUCGCUCUUGUUAUUAAUAUAAGAUAAGUCGUAACAUAGUAGAUGUACUGGAAAGUGUAUCUAGAAUGA
rnacentral:rRNA from 1 species